rnacentral:rRNA from 1 species
AUUGAACGCUGGCGGCAGGCUUAACACAUGCAAGUCGAGCGGAGAGAGGUAGCUUGCUACUGAUCUUAGCGGCGGACGGGUGAGUAAUGCUUAGGAAUCUGCCUAUUAGUGGGGGACAACAUUUCGAAAGGAAUGCUAAUACCGCAUACGUCCUACGGGAGAAAGCAGGGGAUCUUCGGACCUUGCGCUAAUAGAUGAGCCUAAGUCGGAUUAGCUAGUUGGUGGGGUAAAGGCCUACCAAGGGGACGAUCUGUAGCGGGUCUGAGAGGAUGGUCCGCCACACUGGGACUGAGACACGGCCCAGACUCCUACGGGAGGCAGCAGUGGGGAAUAUUGGACAAUGGGCGGAAGCCUGAUCCAGCCAUGCCGCGUGUGUGAAGAAGGCCUUAUGGUUGUAAAGCACUUUAAGCGAGGAGGAGGCUACUUUAGUUAAUACCUAGAGAUAGUGGACGUUACUCGCAGAAUAAGCACCGGCUAACUCUGUGCCAGCCGCCGCAGUAAUAC